UGCUGCUGAAGAAGCUGCCAACUCAAGCUCUACUGAGUAGCUCUAUUGGCUUUGGUCCCUCUUGUUUUGAUGGUUUUUCUUGGUUUUUUUUGUUUUGGUGGAUUUCUGUGUUUUUUUUGGUUUGUUUCUCAGCAUUCUUCAGCUGUGUAUGUACUUGGUGUUGUAACUCUAUAACUUAUGGUUUUUCGGUUAAUGACUAGAUAGACAUUUAUUUUGUC
rnacentral:lncRNA from 1 species